AGUAGAGACGGGGUUUCACCAUGUUGGUCAGGGUUGUCUUGAACUCCUGACCUCAGGUAAUCCGCCUGCCUCGGCCUUCCAAAGUGUUGGGAUUAGCUGCUGCCGUUUUAGACAACGGUUGAUGAAGGGUUCGAAGGCCUACACAAUAGAGCUUUUGUUCUGUUUUGAGUGGUCCUGAACAGUUCUUUUGGGCAGGGGAAUUUGUCUGUGUGUGAAUGUGCAAACAUAUAUAUAAUCUGAGUGGCUGCCUGGCCUUGUCCUAGGUUUUGUCCCGUAUAUAUUCCGCCUUUUUUUUUUCUUUUUCUUUCUGCAUGUAUGUAUAUUUUCUCAAGGCGUCUGCCCUGCACUAGACUUUGGCUUGCCUUUCCAGGCCAGCUUUGACAGUUUUCCCUCUGGGUAACCAAGCGGGCUGCAGCCAGCAGAUGGCACUGCAGCAGAAAGGGGCAGAGUCCCUUUAGGCCCUUGACAAGCAGGGCGGAUUAGUAACCUUAUACUUUAACCCUCUAGUUAGCCUUGGAGGACUCGGUGUCGCACUUCCUCCCGGACUCUCAUAAAGCGGGCCGAGUUGUGUGCAAUUAAGGAUUUCAGGAUGCAAAUCUGAAUCUGUAGUUUUGUCUCCUCCACCCCACCCCCAUUAUUAGAUUGGCAAUGUCUUUUGUCACGUUGUCAAAAUGUUCUCAGAGGAGCGGUGGCUGAUUUCUGGUUAAAGUGGCUGAGGUGAUCCCAGCAUUAAUUAAAUGCAGGAGAAUCGAGAUUCUCCUUAUAGUUUAAGGAAAAGAAAAAUUCACACAAGCAAACCGGCAACCAUUUGAAUGUUUUCCGACGACGUGGUGCUUUAGGAUCUGAAAGAUGCGACUUGUUUUGUUUGUUUGUUUUUGAGACGGAAUUUCCGCUCUUGUUGCCCGGGCUGGAGUGCAAUGGCGCGAUCUCGGCUCACCGCAACCUCCGCCUCCCAGGUUCAAGCGAUUCUCCUGCCUCAGCCUCCCGAGCAGCUGAGAUUACAGGCAUGCGCCACCGCGCCCGGCUACUUUUGUAUGUUUAGUAGAGACGGGGUUUCUCCUUGUUGGUCAGGUUGGUCUCGAACUCCGACUUCACGUGAUCCGCCUGCUCGACCUCCCAAAGUGCUGGGAUUACAGACGUGAGCCACCGUGCCCGGCCACGACUUGUUUUUGUUAAAGGUUCCUCAUUUCAUUUGGAACGUUCAGACGCAGUCUAACUACAUUUCCAUCCGGAGUAAGGAAGAGCCGCUCAAGGGCAGUCACCGAGGCCGCAGGUGCGGCUUCUUCACCCGCGGUGCUGGAGUUCUCUCAAGUGGAAGCCCACGACGAUGACAACCUUAUAGGUGGGCUGCUGCUUACACACAACAGCCACCACGGCGCAAAAUAAACUACAAAACUAUAAGCCUUUACCUUUUCAAACACACCGACGCGGGCCAGCCCCAGCACUACGCCCGCCCUCAGGGGCACGCAGCAAAGAUUUCCUUAUCAUGGCCAAGUAGGAAGCCUCCGGGAUAGCGUUCUUCUUAACCUACGUAAACACGCUGUUUGCCGAGCUCGACAAUCGGCUAGCCACUCCUGAUAGCGUUCGGCGCUCGCCUCUCGGCCCUUGCUCCUGCGUACUCGGCUUCUUCCAGUCGCCUGGGCCCGAAUCGGGAAGUGUCAAGCGGAUGCCUAGUUCCUCCACCUCCGCGGCUAUCACCACUGAACCCGGACCGCCUACCCAGGUCCAGGGCCAGCCGCCAUGACGAACGGCGAGAACCGAUGCCCUGAGCGGAGGUGUACUCCUUGGAUGGGAUUCUGGUGUUUGGUUUGCUCUUUGUUUGCACCUGUGCCUACUUCAAGAAAGUACCUCGUCUCAAAACCUGGCUGCUAUCAGAGAAGAAGGGUGUUUGGGGUGUGUUUUACAAAGGUGAGGCCAUGUCUGGACAGGGAGAAGAGACUGCCAUCUCUGGACAGUGUGGAGCUACAAAGUAGGGAGUACAGUGAGCUGGGACUGUAUUUGGUUUCAUUUUUAGAAAACAACCCCUCAGAUUGGGUCUGAGAGCCUGUAAAAUCAAUCAUUCUCCAAAGUUGAGGGAAGAGAUAAAUGUUAAAAUUUGCUGGGUGUGGUGGCUCAUGCCUAUAAUCCCAGCACUUUGGGGGGGCCAAGGCAGGAGGAUUGCUUGUGUCCAGGAGUUGUAGAUCAGCGUGGGCAACAUAGUGAGACCCCAUUUCUAGAAAAUAUACAAAAAUUAGCCAGGUAUGGUGGCACGUGCCUGUAGUCCCAGCUACUCAGGAGACCGAGGUGGGAGGAUUGCUUGAGCCUAGGAGGUUGAGGCUGCAGUGAGCCAUGGUGGAGCCACUGCACUCCAGCCCAGGUGACAAGGUGAGACCCUGUCUUAAAAAAAAAAAAAAAAUUAAAUGUUACUUUAAAACAUAAUUGUCUAUUUUAGCAUCCAGAUGAUUUUUGUAUUCUCCGUGGAAUAAAAGUAUACACAUCAAACCA